rnacentral:lncRNA from 1 species
GUUAUCAAUUAAUAAAGGAGUAUUAUUAUUGGGAGAAAGCAUUGUAGUAUUUCUUGGUAUUUUAGUGGUUAAGAAUACGAUUAAUUGUGUGAUCCUAACAAGUAAAACUCAUGCACUUAGUCUUUUUUUGUGUUCAAAUUCCCGUAUACAGGUUUAUUCUAUUAUUGUAGAAUAAAUAAAACAACAAUCACAUUUAUCUUAUAUUAUAAUUUACAAAAAAUUUAGCUAAUGAGUGCAACAUCAUCUCACUUUACAUCAAUUAUAAGGUGUCAAAAUUAUGAAGCAUAUAAUAAUAUGGAUUGAUUGCCUUGUUGCAAAAUAUAGAUCUUAUUUAUUGUAAUAUAAAUUAUAUCAUAUUUUUUAUAUAUAGAUCAAAAAAAAUUCAAAAAAACUCUAAAUUAUCUAAUAAUAGAUCAUAUUAUUUAAAAAAAGAUAAAAACCAUGAUAAUACAAAAAUUGAAAG